CCUACGGGGUGCAGCAGUGGGGGAUAUUGCACAAUGGGGUAAACCCUGAUGCAGCGACGCCGCGUGGGUGAAGAAGCGCCUCGGCGCGUAAAGCCCUGUCAGCAGGGAAGAAAAUGACGGUACCUGAAGAAGAAGCCCCGGCUAACUACGUGCCAGCAGCCGCGGGAAUUAGUAGGGGGCAAGCGUUAUCCGGAUUUACGGGGGGGAAAGGGGGCGCAGACGGCGAUGCAAGCCAGGAGUGAAAGCCCCGGGCCCAACCCCGGGACUGCUCUGGGAACUGCGUGGCUAGAGUGCAGGAGGGGCAGGCGGAAUGCCUGGUGUAGCGGUGAAAUGCGUAGAUAUCAGGAGGAACACCGGUGGCGAAGGCGGCCUGCUGGACUGCAACUGACGCUCAGGCACGAAAGCGUGGGUAUCGAACAGGAUUAGAUACCCGAGUAGUC
rnacentral:rRNA from 1 species